GUGCCAGCGCCGCGGUAAUACGGAAGAUGCGAGCGUUAUCCGGAUUUAUUGGGUUUAAAGGGAGCGUAGGCGGACUCUUAAGCCUGCGGUAAAAUGUCGGCGCCCAACGCCGGCCCGCCGUGGGAACUGGGAGUCUUGAAUGUGCACAAGGCAGGUGGAAUUCGUGGUGUAGCGGUGAAAUGCUUAGAUAUCACGAAGAACUCCGAUUGCGAAGGCAUCCUGCUGGGGCAUGAUUGACGCUGAGGCUCGAAAGCGCGGGAAUCAAACAGGAUUAGAUACCCUGGUAGUCCGCGCCGUAAACGAUGAAUACUGGUCGUUGGCGCCAUACGGUCAGCGACUGAGCGAAAGCAUUAAGUAUUCCACCUGGGGAGUACGCCGGCAACGGUGAAACUCAAAGGAAUUGACGGGGGCCCGCACAAGCGGAGGAACAUGUGGUUUAAUUCGAUGAUACGCGAGGAACCUUACCCGGGCUUGAAUUGCACAGGACGGGGUGCAGAGACGCACCCUUUCUUCGGACCUGUGUGAAGGUGCUGCAUGGUUGUCGUCAGCUCGUGCCGUGAGGUGUCGGCUUAAGUGCCAUAACGAGCGCAACCCCUGCCGCCAGUUGCCAUCAGGCAGUGCUGGGCACUCUGGCGGGACUGCCAUCGCAAGAUGUGAGGAAGGUGGGGAUGACGUCAAAUCAGCACGGCCCUUACGUCCGGGGCUACACACGUGUUACAAUGGGGGGCACAGAGAGUUGCUUGCCGGUGACGGCUGGCGGAUCUUGUAAAUCCCCUCUCAGUUCGGAUCGGAGUCUGCAACCCGACUCCGUGAAGCUGGAUUCGCUAGUAAUCGCGCAUCAGCCAUGGCGCGGUGAAUACGUUCCCGGGCCUUGUACACACCGCCCGU
rnacentral:rRNA from 1 species